rnacentral:ncRNA from 2 species
CAACCUCAACGCGGGAGCUUCCGACGAAGGAGGCUGAGAGGGCGGCUGGGGUUCGCUCCACGGUGCCGCCGACCGCCAGAACCUGUCCGGAUAAUGCCGGCGUAGGGAGCCGUCACUGUGGUGCU